rnacentral:lncRNA from 1 species
UAAAAGGCAACCCAAAGCUGCUUGCUGAAGUGCCGAAUAUACCUAUUGGUAAACAAAACAUGGAACAACCACAGCCCUUGGGACCUCAUUUUUCUCACUCAAGACCUCUCCAAAGGUCUGAAAGGACAUAUAAUCUCGACCAACUCAAAACAUGCAUCAAGAUGAGGACUUUUGGGACAAGAAUGAUGUCAAAACUUCACAACACUUAGAUCUAUGCAAUAUAAAUGACAAGCGAGAAGCUUUAUACCUCAAAUAGGCUCCAAAGGAUGAUAUCUUUCCAGAUCUAUAAGCUCCAGCCACUCAACUCCUUCUUUGACAACUUCCUCUUUCUUCUUCUAGCCUCUCCUUUGCCAAAAUAAGCUUUCCAAGGCCAAACACACCCAACAAUGGAGGUGGAACGGCUAUCUAGGGUUUCUGAGGUUAAGAGAGAGCUUAUGGAGGCUAGGGUAUGAACCAACAUGUUCCUUAUAUAGUGGCUGUCCCUAAUUUUAGGGUUUUAGAACUCUGAGAGUACGUUGGGCGUACCUCUAGUACGCUGGGCGUACUCAACCUUGCACCCGCGUCCACUCACAAUUAAGUACUCUUAGGAACGGGGUGUUACAAAUAUAUAAUUAAUAUUGUAACAAGAAAAGAAGAAGAAGAUGUUGGAAGAGGUGGGAAGAGGCAAAACAAGUGUUGCGCCAAGAAGAACACGCACAGAUGUUUUUUAAUCCGAAGACUUCUGNGAGACGAGCUUGCGCUUAAUAUUAGGCUUGUUUAUUAAACGAGCUCGAGCUCGAGCCUUUGUUACUUGGCUUGAUUAGGCUCACGAUCCUAAACGAGCCUACAUAUAUAUAAUUAAAAAAUUAUUUUUAUUUUUAUAUAUUAAAAUAAAUAAUAAUUUAAUAAAGGGUUUAGGUCAUUUUUUGUCACUUAACUUUUGGUUUUGUACUCAUUUGGUCACUUAACUAUUUUUAAGUUUUAAAAGGUCAUCAAACUUUUGAUUUUAAGCUCAUUUAGUCACUUAACUUUUGGUUUGGUCACAUUUAGUCACCUAACUUUUAAAUUUGUGCUCAUUUAGUCACCUAACUUUUAAAAUUGUGCUCAUUUAGUCACUAAACUUUUAAAAAAAAUUGUUUAGUGACUAAAUGAGCACAAUUUUAAAAAUUAGGUGACUAAAUGUGACAAAACAAAAUUUAAGUGACUAAAUGAGCACAAAGUCAAAAGUUCGAUGACUUUUUAAAACUUAAAAAGAGUUAAGUGACCAAAUGAGCACAAAACCAAAAGUUAAGUGACCAAAAAUGACCUAACCUCUUUAAUAAAUACCAUUUUAGGAAAUUAGAGUAUACUGUAUACGAGCCGAGCCCAAAUCGAGCCUGAGCCCGUAGAAUUCUUAACGAGCCGAUCUCGAGCUUUGUACCACAAGACUCAAACGAGCCAAGCUUGAGCUCGAGCCUAUAAAUAGUGAAACGAACCAAGCCCGAGCCUAGUCAUGCUCGAGCUCGGCUUGGCUCGUUUGCAGCCCUACAAACAGCUACGAGAUGAAAAGUGUUGUGCGUGUGUUGUGCCGCGCAACAAUAAGAGGUUUGAAGAGUUUUUUUUUCCAAAAAAACAAACAGCAUCUUAGUUUUGUUGCGUCUUUGGUCAUAUCAUACCCAAAAAAAACCUAUUCUAUCUUUAUUAUUAUUAUUUAUUUUUAAUUUUAUCUAUAUUUUAUGUUAUUAUUAAAUACAGGAAAAUAUUAAUAUGUUAUUUAACUCUGAGACCUAAUGUUAUUCUCUCUCUCAUUUCCAUCUCUACCCUCUUUCUUUGUAGAAAUGUCGUUUUUUUCGCCCUUCUAAAAUCACCCACCAUAGGAAGUCUUUUUUGAAAAAUCCACAAACCACCAGAGAGAAAAUGAGGGCUGCAGAUUUGGUCAACAAGCCAUGGUCGCCGCUGGCCUCCUCUUGACCGCAAAGGUGUAGUUAACAAGUUUUGCCGUCGUGUAUUCUUAUUCUUUCGUAGCAAAUAACAUCUAAACGAAUUCCAAGGUUCACAACAGCAUGGCCUCUCGUCUUCUUUUGAACCGAUUGUCUCAUACCUUUCCUUGGCGAGAAUAUGUAAGUUAUUAAACGCUUUAUCCACAAUUUACAAAAUUAAAGUGUCGAUCGACAUGACGUUCUGUAGGUCCUAAGUUAGUAGCUCGAUUUUGUUUAUUUUUUGUACUCUAAUUUGAUGAUAUCACUUCUUAGUGAUAAGAAUCAAUAAGGUUUUAAUAAUUUGUGUAGUUUGGAUCUUCCGGUUCUGCGGUUCAUUUAACGGGUUGAAGAUCUUAUUGAAUAAAUGAAGAUGAUGGUGAGAAAGUUACGUGCUCAAAGUGGCAUUUUAGGUUUAAUUUCAGAUAUUAUUUUGGUUGUAGGUUUUGAUUUUGUUUUGUCUCGAUUGCCGGAGGCUACUUGAGUGGGUUGACCGUGGUUGUCGGAAUGGGCUAACGGUAGUGAUCAGAAACAUAAAAAAAAAAACAGAUCAUAAUACCUUCCAUGUUUAAAAAAGAAGUUAAAGACAAAUGACAAACUAUUUCAAACUAUAGGGACUAUUCAUAUAAUUUUCUCUUUAGAAAAUGAAUAAAAGGGAACCCAAAGCUACUAUCUGAAGUGCUGAAUAUACCUAUUGGUAAACAAAACAAUGGCGGCCAUGUCGCCUGGAAACCUGGUUGGAUGACGGAACUAUUUUCGUCACGCCUCUUUGGAACUCAAUGGCAUAGAAGACGCGGCUUUCUUCUUAUUCAGAUCAUUUCAUAACGAUGUGUCUCCUAUAGCCACCGGAGACCAUACACUGGCGAUUCUUCUUGGAGAAUCUGACGCUUCGCCGUGCGGUUUCCCUUUUGAGUGGGCAGGAAUGGAGGCGGCGCCACUGUAGAUGUUCUUGGUCUGGGGAUAUGCGGAGAGUGGUUGAUUGAUAGGCUGCUUUAUGAUCGUUGUCCGUUAGGUUUCAAAUCCAAGCCUACUUCUCUCGGAAAC